rnacentral:snoRNA from 1 species
CAUGCCUUAAAUAAAUGAACACGUUCUUAAUAGCAAAAGUUAUGAGAGAUGGUUUAUUCGAGGCUAAAUUGAGAAAAAAAAAAUGCCACUGAUAAAACGAGUUACGCAUUUUCCGCAAGUUGCUGACUCACCUGACUUUGGCACAUUCAUCUAACCAGGGGAAAGCGUAACCUUUGU